UACGUAGGGUGCAAGCGUUAAUCGGAAUUACUGGGCGUAAAGCGUGCGCAGGCGGCUUUGCAAGUCAGACGUGAAAUCCCUACGGCUUAACCGGGGAACUGCGUCUGAUACUGGAUGGCUUGAGUUUGGGAGAGGGAUGCGGAAUUCCAGGUGUAGCGGUGAAAUGCGUAGAUAUCUGGAGGAACACCGGUGGCGAAGGCGGCAUCCUGGACCAACACUGAACGCUGAGUGAGCGAAAGCCAGGGAGCAAAGCGGGAUUAAGAUGAUCCCUGUAGUACCCCUGGAAGC
rnacentral:rRNA from 1 species